AUUGAACGCUGGCGGCAGGCUUAACACAUGCAAGUCGAGCGGGGGAAGGUAGCUUGCUACCGGACCUAGCGGCGGACGGGUGAGUAAUGCUUAGGAAUCUGCCUAUUAGUGGGGGACAACAUCUCGAAAGGGAUGCUAAUACCGCAUACGUCCUACGGGAGAAAGCAGGGGAUCUUCGGAACUUGCGCUAAUAGAAGAGCCUAAGUCGGAUUAGCUAGUUGGUGGGGUAAAGGCCUACCAAGGGGACGAUCUGUAGCUGGUCUGAGAGGAUGAUCCGCCACACUGGGACUGAGACAAGGCCCAGACUCCUACGGGAGGCAGCAGUGGGGAAUAUUGGACAAUGGGGGGAACCCUGAUCCAGCCAUGCCGCGUGUGUGAAGAAGGCCUUAUGGUUGUAAAGCACUUUAAGCGAGGAGGAGGCUACUCUAGUUAAUACCCAGGGAUAGUGGACGUUACUCGCAGAAUAAGCACCGGCUAACUCUGUGCCAGCAGCCGCCGUAA
rnacentral:rRNA from 1 species